rnacentral:misc_RNA from 1 species
AUUUUAUUGAGCAAAUUUCCUACCAAAAUUCAAUCCAAACUUCCUCUCUUCUAGUACAAAAACUAAAACAUAAAUCUCUGCACUUCAUUUCGUACAACCAAGACUAAGAAAGAUUCUCUGCACUUCAUUUCAUCGGAAUAAAAACUCCCUUCACUGUCAGUUCCAACACAGCAAUCUUCACAUCCAAUUCAAACAUUGCUGUCUUUGCCUUCCAAAUAUAACUUUAUCCCUAGCAGCAUUACGCUGUGAUCUACUUGAAAGUAUGAAGAUAUGAAAACAUAGAAAAGAGGAUAUUCUACCAAUAGAGUUAGCCCAUUUAAUAAGGAUGGGAGUUCAUCUUCCUUAUCAAAUUAUGGCUUGAUUUCACUGAGAAAUACUUCACGAUUAUUUAUCCUAAUACACUAGGCCGAUAUAGGAGAGUGCACUCUUAAGAUCGCCCAGAGAGAGGACCUAGUCUCAAUGAGUGAAACUUACCCCACAAAUACCCUUGACUGUGAGUACCGAAAAAAAGAAAGUGGGAGAGGGGAUAUUAUACACUUGAAAAAACUGCACUACAUACAGGCAGCAUGUCCCAUAAAGAUGCUUAACAUUACCCUUUUUCACAAACAGAACACAUCCCAUUCCCAUGCGCCAUUAGGAUUGGGUAACAGCUUAUGAAUCAUGUCAUAACAAGCCAAUACUGUCCACAGCAUAAUCGUAUCAUUUCACUUGCUCAUGAAUUUUACAAUAUACUGCCUAUAAAGCAAACCAACUCUCGUAAAACAAAACUCUCAUUGCUCCGAUCAAAAUACCUAUGACAUAACAAUCAAUGACAAUUAGGAGGAAAAAAUAGUUAAUAGAGGGAGCGAAGCUAGAAAUUAGAAAGAUAAGAACAGGUAUGAUCUGUGCUGCACGCUAACAAAAGUAUAGUUUGGAAAAUUAAUAAUUGACUCAGAAUAAUGAUAAGUAUACAUUACCAUGGUUUCACUUUAAGAAUCACACGAGAAAAAUAUCAAAGUCGAAUGAGAGUAAUGAAACAUCACUCAUGGGCAUUAUUCACGCUCAAGUGCAAGCCAAAGAGGAGGAGGCCCCCUGCAUUCCUUCUGAAGACACAUGGGGGCCAUAUUACUCAUUAACUAAGAGCAAUUAUGUCACCUGUAUGCCACCAGUCGCAAUCAGCUUUUCAUUUUAUUCUCCCUACUUUUUCUCUUCCCUAGCUCAUGACAACUGGUGUCUUAGACUCAUGCUUGAGGAAACAGAACAAAAUGAUCCCGUAGGGGGACCGUCAGAGGAACCAUGAACAAGCACAAACACAACUAAUUUGCACUUGUGAAAUCAGCUGAUUAGUAUUCUUAUAUUUGAUAUGGUUUUCUUAAUAUAUUUAAAAAGAGAUGAAAAACAUACGAGAACAAAAUACCAUGUCAUGGGUAGUUUAAUUGAUGCACAUAGUCUCAGCACCAAAGAUGUGUAGUAAAAAAUUUCAAAGAGGAAAACUUGCUCCAAGUCCUGAUGAAAUUCAAAGCCUAAUUCUAAUAAAUAAAGUACCGAAUGGAUAUAUAUUUUAAAAUGGUAUAAAUUUCCAUUUGAAAUACUGAUUUAUUUCUCCUAAAAUCAAAUUGUUUAUCUUAGAAGUAACAGUUUUUAUACAUUAUUCAGAAAGGAUAUCACCACUAAUUCUAUAAUGGUUAGCAUAACACACACCUUCAGCUGGUUGUUUCAAUAAUGCAUUAACACUACGUUUGGUAGACA